AGAAUCAACGCUGGCGGCGUGCCUCAGACAUGCAAGUCGAACGAUUAAAGCUCUCUUCGGAGAGUGUAUAGAGUGGCGCACGGGUGAGUAACACGUAAGUAAUCUACCUCUGAGUGGGGAAUAACGUCCGGAAACGGACGCUAAUACCGCAUAAUGCAGCGGCACCGCAAGGUGACAGUUGUUAAAGAUUUAUCGCUUAGAGAGGAGCUUGCGGCAGAUUAGCUAGUUGGUAAGGUAAUGGCUUACCAAGGCUACGAUCUGUAACCGGUCUUAGAGGACGGUCGGUCACACUGACACUGAAUAACGGGUCAGACUCCUACGGGAGGCAGCAGUCGGGAAUUUUGGGCAAUGGGCGAAAGCCUAGACCCAGCAACGCCGCGUGAAGGAUGAAGUAUUUCGGUAUGUAAACUUGAAACGAAUAGGAAGAAUAAAUGAGUACUAUUAUAAGUCGGAUAACGUACGUGCCAGACAGCCGC
rnacentral:rRNA from 1 species